ACAAAAUGAGAAUAAUGGGGCGACACAUUUAGAGAUAUUUUCAAAUCUGCAGUCAUUUACGGUAUUUAGGAUCUGUGAUUACUUGUUUCCUAACCCUUUACCACAAAGACAAGUGUAUGUCAUCCUACACAAAAGUACGAAAGGAAGUUUCUUAUUUUCUCCUCCUGUUAUUCCAGUGGGAGACCUUCAUCUUGUGAGCAUAUCUGUCCUCUUUUCUGCCUCCUGCUUGUCAGAAGACCCCCACUCGUGUGUUGUUUAAUUCAUCACAUGAGCAGAUGAGGUCUUUAAAGUAGAUUAAGAAUAGAUGAAGUAGUAGGAAAUGAAGGUAUGCCCAAGUCCCACGGCCCAUAUGCUGGACCGCAUGUCCUCAGGACAGGCCUCAAAAAGCUAUUGACAUUUACUGAUGACAUUUACACAUAUGGAUUCAUUUUGGGGGCAUCCCACUGCAUGAAUAAUGCUCCGUGUGUGCACGCACAUCUGUCCAUCUGUUUGUUCAAGCUUCUGUCUCUUCACUACCGGCAAAACCUACCUUCUCCCAGUCAUAAAAUGUCCUAUUAUGUCUAGAAAUUGUGAUGGAUUUUUCUCGCCUUUUGCCUUUUAGGAGUGGAGCUUCUCUUUCUCAUAUUCAUAGAAAUCUGAGGCAAGGUGCUCAUAAAGCUGGCAGGAGUGUUCCAUAAGUGCUCAGAUUCAUUGAGAUUACUCUCAAAUGUCUGAGCAAACUGCAGUGUUUGAAUUGCCUCCACAAACCCAAUGAAUUAUCAGCAUAUUGUUCCAUAAGAACAGUCCUAGUGUUCACUCCGACGAUGACUAGUCCGUCCGUUGUUCUGUUGUCUUCAGCACAGGAAGGUACAGGAGGCCAUGUUGCCGAGCAUGCGGAUGAUAUUAUAGCUCAUUGACAGUUUGCUGCUCCGCCAGCAUAUAAAAGCCAAAACAUAUUGCUACAAAAUGUACCUCAACACUUUCUAAUGUCUCCAGAUUUCGACUGGCUAACUUGCCUUAUUGUAGGCUGCCAUGUUUACCUUUUCAUACAUCCAGUCACCAGCUGCCUCUUUUCACCUGCACUGAGGGCGUUUCACCCAAAUCACCACCUUUUAUCUCAUUGCAACGCAGAAAUGUUAUCAGUCCUGAUAUCAAAGAUUGUUCUCAUUAAAGAACGACUGUCUGGUCAGAUUAUCAUUAUUCCCCAGCCGCCUCAUCUUUUCUUUCCAUUGUUGUCUCUGCGCCGCUCUGCACACUGCAACACCCGACGGAGGGCAGGGAAAACGUGUGCACUGACACGGACUAAAAGAUCAGAGUGCACAAAAAGUAGUUUCCUUCAGUAUUAAAACGUAGUAUUCCCUUUCAGGCGCCUGUGUUGUCGCAUAAUCACGGCCAGUUUAAGUGUCUUUUGUGGGAGCGCAGCUCCGUCAGUUUGUAGUCGGUCAAACUUGCUGAUGUCAUCAGUUUUUACUCCUUCCCACUUGAGGAAGAAGUCACAGUCCGUCGAUGGACCUGGGUUCUAUGACAGAUUGUUAAGGAGCCGCUGCUGUACAGAAGAUGGGCCACUAACACACCAACAUCCUGUCAUUGGUUGGGGGGGGGGGGCGAGGCAAGUAUGCAGUGAGGACGAUGAAUAAUGGAGCACGCUUUAGAGAGCCUUGGUUUGAGGGCGGUAUACGAAUGUGCUAGAAAUGUGUGCCCAUAUACUGUUUGUAUGAUUAAUUGAGUAGGUUUGUGGUCUGAUGGACUCUGAACGCAGAGACACUUGUGACGUACCUCUGUGCUCUGUAUCUACUGUAUUUCCAGUAGAUUUGAAAGAAUCUACUGACAAUCUUAUCUGUUCACAAACACGUAAAUGGAACAUGUGCAAUAUUUUAUGAAAAUGACUUGCUGAAACGCGCUAAAAUGCAACACAUCACCAGUCAGACCAUCAGUGUUUGACCCGACUAUGGAGGUGGAGAUUCAUUAUUUGGGGGUUUGCCACCGAAACACCAUUCAGGCAUUCGACUAGUGGCUCGUACAAAAGUACUGAUUCAGACACCUUUCCAGCUUUGAAGUUUAAGGCCAAAUAUAGCGAACCAGUGGCAGACUGGUGCGGUGGGGGUCAGUCGGCCCGACUCAGCUUCCGGAGUGUUUCCUCAGAGUCUCGGCUACACGUCCCGUACGUCCCCCAGCUCUUAUCAAAGAGAAGGUUAAGUGCACAGCUGCCCCUUUUUUCCAGCCCAACAGCGUCGUCUCCACACCAGCUUUCCUUGCAUUAUCUGUGUGCGACACAUAUAACUAAUUCACACAUACACAAACACACAGGAGAUCUAAAUGUGGCUUAAAAUAUCCAAACUAGAAGUAGGGUGUUUAACCCUGAUGUUUUUGAUCUUCUGUUAAUAAUCAGAGUGUAUCAUCAAAUUUGUGGGAUCAGAAUGUUGGAAUCUUUGUAAUUUGAGCUCAGCAGGUGUGUAUUCAUGUAAAUAUACAUAUGAACACAGGGUGAAUGCAACUGAGCGCAGGAUGAUUGGGACUGUGUCAUAUCCUAGUUAAAAGCCCUGUGGUAAAAGAAGAAACAAUAAAAGGAUAAAGAAGUAGCUUUCACGCUAUAUUAAAGGAUUUGGCCCCGUUGGAUCAUUGUCAAGCCACCUUUUCAGGACCUAAAGAAUUAGAGCAAACACUCAUUGUGGGUGUUAUUGUAGCCACUGUGAGCACAAACCAGAUGAAAAACCGAUAGCUUCCAUCCAUUUAGUAAUCCAGUUAUCUGAAAAAGCUCAAAGCAUCACAAAAGCAUCAUUAUCCCCCCCCCCCCCAUUUCCCUCUAUACUAUAUGUAGGUCUACAAACCCCCCUAGAGUAUCUUGGGUUUGUUGCCUCUGGGGCAUUCCACAAUUGCAAGACUAGGAAAUACUAAUUGUUGUCCUGUAAUGUUUCUCAUAUUGUGUUAUUUCAGGAGGAGGAAACCUAAGUUGUGCAGCCAAUACAGCACCAGUUUCAGCUCACAAAUGUAGAAUUGGAAGAACUUAACUAUGUAGGGAGAAUGCUUGUGUUUUUCUCAAUUUAGUCUCUUUAAAUGAACCGGAACAACAAUUUCAGUUCUAAAGUGUUUUUUUUUCACCAAUAUCCGACCGGUGAAGCUGAAGGUGUCACUGUGAGGAACAGUUCGGUUUAGGGUGCAGCAAUUUCAAGUAUGUAGAGAAGGUGCCAUCUGGAGAACCCAACAUUUACUGAUCAAAAUGUAUUUAUUCCUUUUUUAUUUUCUCACGACAAUCUCAUUUUAUUUACCAGACUGUAAACAUACCAGCAAUUGCAUCGAGACAGCGAGACUAAUAUUGUAUUAUACAAACAUUUCUGCUUCUGUUUUAUAAUGACAUUAUAGAGACAGAAAUCUCUCAAUGACGAGUGUGUCACUGGAAUCAGAAACAUAUUGUAUCGCACUGAUGAUAUAGUGAUGUGUAUCGCACUAUAUCGUGCGAUACUGUUGUGUGGGUGGAGGAGAGAGGACCCAAACGCAAGGGCAGGUAAGGUCUGUUUUAAUCAACUUAGAAUGUCCAAGGCAAAAAGGAACUAAGGUAGCCACAAGGUGGUCUCACAAACAAAAUGGCCCUAAAGGCUUAACAGAAGAGGCGCGGGCGCUUGGCCGGCGACGGGGAAUUCCGGAGAGUGCAGGGAACGAGCUCCAGGGCGAGGGAAAAGCACUCCAGACAGCAGGCCGCCCACGUCAAACGGGAGGCUGGGUGGAACAGAGGUUUGGACUCGGGCCACACCGUAAGGCACGAACCGUUAGCACACGACACAGCAGGAGAAACGAGGCAGCAGGUACGUCGGGUGCAUAGUCAAUACUCUGGCAGAGAACAAGGGGAAGAGGCAGGCUAGAAAUAGAGAGUCUAAUUGCAGAAGGUAGGAACAGGUGAGGGGAAGAGAGGAUGACGAGAUGAGAAGCAGCUGGGAAUGAAUGAGCAGGUCUAAGUGUGUGUGUGUGUGUGUGUGUGUGUAAGUGAAGAAAGGGUUGGAAAGGAAAAGGAGGAUACCCGGUUCAUGACAGAUACGAUAGAUAUACUGAAUCUAUCAUUGUAAUAAAGAUGCACCUCCAUGUCCAAAUAAAAUACCACUUUAAUCAAUUGUUGAUAAUGCCCUCACUUAUAAAUAAUCUAUAAAUCUAUAGCUAUAAGUAGCUAUAAAUCUAUAAUAAAUCUUUUCAUUAAAAUAUAAAUCAUUUUUUUUACGCACUCAAUAAUAUAUUUAGUGUCAAGUGCGUCAUGCGCCUAAAGCGGUGGGAAUUCCUGGCUAUAUAUAGUUUAAGAUCUGUGAAAUUGUUGCAUUUGUCUCCUUCUGACUGCAGUGAGUUGAGCUUUGGUCUCAACUAUGUUUUUCAGUAAAGAACAUCUUAACGCUUCACCACUGCAACUGUAGGAUUCCUCACCGGCCUCCCGGUGGGUUAUUCACCAGCCGCUAUUCUCAAAUUUCUUUGACUGUUGAAUUUAAAUGUAGAAAAUAUGCUUUGCUUGUCCACAGUGUCUAUAAUGCAAUGGCCUGAUUAUGGGUCAUCCAGGGGAACUGAGCUGAUUCCAGCUUCCACUGAGGAAACAACAACUGAGAAACCCUUCGGUCGGGUUGGAAACUCUGAAACGAAUUGUGAUCUAUGGAACUGCAUUGUUCGGCUUCUCCUCGGCAGUCAUUCGUGUUCACUGUCAGUGAAUCAGAAACGCCUUGGUUUCUAAUGCAUUAGGUAUAUUUUGUAUUCUUUGCCUUCCUGUCUUUGUGUCUUGCACCAUGUGUGUUCAGCUGAUAAACUGCACGCGUCAGUCAACCAGCAGGAGAAUGAAGGGAGACUCAGGAUUCUUCCAUAAGACAACUACUUCUACCCCCCCCCCCCCCCUCCAUUGUAGCACAGUGUUGUGUGUGGGCCUCUACUUAAACUCAAACUCACAGAACAUUUAAAAAAAAGAAUUCAGAAUAAUUUCUUGGAUAUAAAGCCAAUUAUUUUCCUUGCAAAGUCAGCAGAAGGAAUCAGCCCACUCACUGUCUCACAUCCCAGCAUUCCUGAACACCAGCCCAACAUUGCGGCUCCUCCGCCGUCAACUAGCUGACAGCUGAGUUCAGGCUCGAGGUCACAGAUCCUGAUCCUGCAGCAUUAUUGGUCCACGCCGCCUUCCGCAGGUUGAGGUUUUUACACCGUUCCAGGCUGAAUCUUAUGGCUUUUUCAAGGCAAUGAGAACUUUAAACCAGCCCAGAGGGAAAUGGAGGCAGAGGGGAGGGGGCGUGACAGGAGUCUACAUCUUUAAUGCCUCCCGGGCUCGGGGCGCAGAUUGCCUUAACUGCUCUCUGUUCAGCGAUUUCUGCGUGGGAUGCUGCAGGAUGGCAGGGGUUGUGGCUGCGAUGGCAUCAAAGCACCAUGAGAGUCAAUAAGCGAAGUGUGAGCUUGGGAGCGAGCAUGCGUCUGUGUGGCUGAUUGCUCGGGAGCUCUGUGAAAAUGCGAGUCGGAGGAGGCACCAGCCCGUCUCGUCUUUGUGUGCUCGUGUCGGUGUGCUUUUAAAUGGAGUUUGUGGUCAGAGCGAGAUAAGUCGCCCUUUAUUAUUAAUGCUGUCAUCCCACCGCAUUGUUCCCUCAAUUACAUUUUAUAUUGGUCGACGCUUUUUGGAACAAUGAUAACCUUUACGUAACAAAAUAUCUGCAGUCCAGAGGUGGAAGAAGCCCCUGGCCUUUAAUUCUUCAUAUCGGGUGUUUACAAUUAAUAUGCCUUGUUAUCCCGUCUCACUAACUUGACGGUGUGCGGAGGAAUUACUAGGCAUCAGAUGGACAAGAUUGAGACACCAAUGAUGCUCACCAAUAAGUUUCAUACAUUUUUUGGUUUUCUUUCCUACGAGCAAGUGGAGCUCGAUGUGCGGAAGCUUUGUGUACGUACUGGGCUCCUUCCCAAAUCUCCUGUUGGCUUUCCUGUUUGAGCUCUAAGAACGGUGUUUCGCCAAGAGCCUUUUCCUUCACUGCUUAACCUACGUAUGUCUUAGAAGAGUACUUGCAUCAUAAGGAUUCCAUAAUUGACUAUCGUUAUGAUGCAGGAUUACUGUCAUUUAAGUACAAUUCCCAGGUACUGACGUUUUACUUCUUUCUCUGCUGUUUAAUGUGUACUUUUGCAUUGUGGUACUACUUGAUGAAAGGAUCUAAAAGAUUCUUUCUUCUGCCGUAACAGCAUUUGUGGUGUCUCCAUUGAUCCCUGAUUCCCUUCCAGCUUUGGGAUAUUCUCCCCCUCUGAAACUCCAGCUGUGCAUCAAACACCAUGGUGCAAAUUAGACUGUGCUCACUCUGACAGGUAGCGUUUUUACCUUGUGGGACCUGUCUGUAUUUCAGUCCGCCUGCUCCUCUGUGUGUGCGCACGCUGUUCGCAUUUGGCUUGCUGUUAAAUCGCCCUCUCACAUUUUUCUGAACCACUCAGCCUCACCUAUUGAUGGAAUAAGUGUUUCCAUGGCAAUAUUGUCACCAAGGCACACUGUAUUUGUGUUUUUUGAUAGAAAACCACAAGUUUUGCAUCCUGUUAUUUUGCUGUUAGGAGUUCAUGUGAAGGCUUUAAGUUGUCCUUGAAAUGUUAGUUUAUUCAAAAUAUGUUUUUCUGCUGUGCCUGUGAUGUGUAAUGCACUAUGUGACCUUGCUUUUCCGCACUGUCCUUUUCUUUAUGAGAUUAAAAAUGGUGCUCUCACCUGGCAACCAA